GCGGUAGCGUCUUAGGCUCUGCCCUCCGAAGGCAGAGGUCAAAGGUUCGAAUCCUUUCGGGUGCGCCA
rnacentral:tRNA from 1 species